UACGUAGGUGGCGAGCGUUGUCCGGAUUUACUGGGCGUAAAGCGCGCGCAGGCGGUGCGCCAAGUUCCGCGUGAAAUCUCCCGGCUCACCUGGGAGGGGGCGGGGAAGACUGGCGCACUGGAGGCAGGCAGAGGCCGGUGGAAUUCCCGGUGUAGUGGUGAAAUGCGUAGAUAUCGGGAGGAACACCCGUGGCGAAAGCGGCCGGCUGGGCCUGUUCUGACGCUGAGGCGCGAAAGCGUGGGGAGCGAACCGG
rnacentral:rRNA from 1 species